UGGGGAAUUUUUGGCAAUGGGGGAAACCCUGACCCAGCAACCCCGCGUGUGCGAUGAAGGCCUUCGGGUCGUAAAGCACUUUUAUCAGGAAAGAACAGUUGUGGUAUAAUAUCUGGUGAAAUUGACGGUACCUGCAGAAUAAGCAACGGCUAACUACGUGCCAGCAGCCGCGGUAAUACGUAGGUUGCAAGCGUUAACCGGAAUUACUGGGCGUAAAGCGUGCGCAGGCGGUUCUGUAAGAAAGAUGUGAAAUCCCAGGGCUCAACCGUGGAACUGCAUUGUUAACUAGAAGGCUAGAGUGUGUAAGAGGGAGGUGGAAUUCCGCGUGUAGCAGUGAAAUGCGUAGAUAUGCGGAGGAACACCGAUGGCGAAGGCAGCCUUCUGGGAUAAAACUGACGCUGAUGCACGAAAGCGUGGGGAGCAAACAGG
rnacentral:rRNA from 1 species